UAGCCACUGCGUUGCUUUCCAAAAUGCUGUAGGAUCAUAAUAGGAGCCACAGGGGAAGGACUGACUCAGGGUAGUAAGAACGGCAAGCAUAUUUUAAUGAGAAGCUGAGGACGGUGGCAUAUUCCUGAGAAAUUUUGACAUCAGGCAUUUCAUUGAAGACAAAGAGAGGAGGAAAGUGGAAAGAUGUUUUGAUUUGGUUUAUAUAGCAUUCUUCUCCCUGAUCCUACUUUGGGUGUCUCAAAAGCAUACUCAAGAUGACACAAAUGUGAGGGAAUAAAAUGUUUGUGAUAUGUCCACAUCUUGGAAAUAAAAUUCUGCUCUCUGGAUGGGUUUGAGCUGGUGCUCCAGAUGAUUACUUCAAUGAUUCUUGCCACUUCUGCAGCAAACUUUCAGGAUCCACCUUGAAAACUGACCUCAAGUGUUGUUCCACAAUGCUAUGUAUGCUGAACAAAGACCCAAAUAAUAACUGGUGGUAGUCCUCCUAUUAUUAUUAAAAGCAGUGUUGAAGUACACAAGUAUUUAGGCUGUUUUGUCUGCAGAGCCUGAGACCUGCAACCAUAUCAAGGCUGUCCUGUCUUCAGUGGUGUUCUGUGAUUCUGGAGCUGCUGGGGACAGGAUCUAUUUUCAGGACGGACAAUCUCUCCCAAACAGUUUUGACCCCUCUGAGUGGAUUAGAGAGUUUAUGCAACUACACAGCUCCAAAGUGUGGCUGAGACUUUCACCAGCAGGAAACUGCACAGGAUGCUCAGUGGCAUCUCAGACAACAGUCAUUUGGGCAGCUGGGCUGAGUCCAGAGUAUUUCACUUAAUCACAACUAGUGAAAAUGGGAGACUGCACAUUGGUUUUGAGGGGAGAAAGGUAACUACCUUUCUCUGCUCUUUCUAGAUGGCAAAGUCUUACUCAGAUCAACUGAAAGGAUCAUUCUACACAGAAAAAAAGAAGAAUUAGGAGAUACGAAUCCGAUAUUUCUAACUGCUUUUUCCAAGAAAGCAUAAUGGACGGACAACAGCCCAAGUUAUGUAUGCUUACUAAUUCUAAAUUGAGGUGGUAUUACCUCCUAAUAAGUUGUUGCAGGCAUUUCACAGUGGUUGCAGAAAUGUCUCACAAGAGAGAUUGUUUUAUAUUAUUUCUUUCUUGCUGGAUUCUGUUCUCUUAAAUCAAGAUAAUUAAAGGAUACUUCUAAUUCA